CAGCCUUUGUGGGUGUCAAGCUGACUGACACGAUGGUAACAUAACAUUCUGGGUAAACAGAAAUAUUUAUGUCAAUUAUUAUGACGAGAAAAUCUACUGAUAAUGAAGACGGCUUACGGGAAGUUUGCGAUGUUUCCAUAGACUUACAGAGUCACAUUUUCCAUGAACUUGAUUGCAAUUCAACACCGGCUCCCUAAUAUGGUUUUAUAGGGCUUGUUUUUGUGCAACAUGACACUUGUACACGAGCGUAUUUUGAGAUUCUUUGAAAUCAGCGCUUCUCCCAAACGAAUCCAUGUGACAGCACCUCGUCAGCCAUGGAUUUCCUUUCAUGGCGCUUUCUGGAGAUAACGACUACAGAUCCGUUCCAGAUAAACGACUGGAAGAGAACUCCCUACAUAUGUGGAAAGGAUGUUUGCGCCACACAAAAAGAAAUUAUCAUAAUAUUUCCCUAAAAGACGCAGACCGUCCAUUCUUACAUUUCAGAAAGACGAUCUGAAAGAGGUUGUCAUAAUAAUGAACGUACGAUUGUGACAGAGAAUCAGAAUGAAAAAUGAUCUCAUCAUUGACUCUCCAAGUUCCAGCGACACUUAAUGUCGUUGGCGAACAUUAUUUGUUUAAUCUUGCUACUAAAUAUAAUUAAAAAUUCUUAUACAUGUCCCCAA